rnacentral:pre_miRNA from 1 species
UGGAUGAGAGCCACUCUGGCUAGCCAAGAAGACCGGCCCAUGCAGCCACAUUGCACAUCCAUCACAAGAAUUUCUUCAGAAACCCUUAAUUUGCCACUGCCAUGGCUUUGAUGGACUAUGGAUGAGCCAACAGAAGACAAAAGCAUAGGCAAGUCAUUCUUGGCUACCAAAGGGAGUAGCCUCUCCA